rnacentral:lncRNA from 1 species
UGUUCUCCUUCAAAUCUCGAUCGAAACGUCUCUUGUUUCGUCUAGAUUGGAGUUACCAUUGAAACUUUACGAUAAAAAAAAAAUCCGCAAAGACUAGUUUUCUCGCGUGGAUUCAGAUUAAUCGUAUAAUACGGCAACGGUUAACUUAACACCUUAGCCGCCUCAACUAUACGAUUACGUUGAACCUUUUUAAUGACUUCGUAUCAGUCAAGUUCGGAAGAUAAAUGUCAUGUUCCAAAGGAUAAACACCAAUAUCGAAAAAGGCGAACAUACACAAGAAGAGGAAGAGGAAGUGAGCAAGCAAAACUGAGAAGAGACAAAACUGCAU